rnacentral:rRNA from 1 species
AACGAACGCUGGCGGCAUGCCUAAUACAUGCAAGUCGAACGAGAUCUUCGGAUCUAGUGGCGCACGGGUGCGUAACGCGUGGGAAUCUGCCCUUGGGUUCGGAAUAACAGCGGGAAACUGCUGCUAAUACCGGAUGAUGACGUAAGUCCAAAGAUUUAUCGCCCAGGGAUGAGCCCGCGUAGGAUUAGGUAGUUGGUGGGGUAAAGGCCUACCAAGCCUACGAUCCUUAGCUGGUCUGAGAGGAUGGUCAGCCACACUGGGACUGAGACACGGCCCAGACUCCAACGGGAGGCAGCAGUAGGGAAUAUUGGACAAUGGGGGCAACCCUGAUCCAGCAAUGCCGCGUGAGUGAUGAAGGCCUUAGGGUUGUAAAGCUCUUUUACCCGGGAUGAUAAUGACAGUACCGGGAGGAUAAGCCCCGGCUAACUCCGUGCCAGCAGCCGCCGUAA